AGCGAACGCUGGCGGCAGGCCUAACACAUGCAAGUCGAACGGACCCUUCGGGGUUAGUGGCGGACGGGUGAGUAACACGUGGGAACGUGCCCUUUGGUUCGGAACAACUCAGGGAAACUUGAGCUAAUACCGAAUGUGCCCUUCGGGGGAAAGAUUUAUCGACAUUGGAGCGGCCCGCGUCUGAUUAGCUAGUUGGUGGGGUAAUGGCCUACCAAGGCUACGAUCAGUAGCUGGUCUGAGCGGAUGAUCAGCCACAUUGGGACUGAGACACGGCCCAAACUCCUACGGGAGGCAGCAGUGGGGAAUCUUGCGCAAUGGGCGAAAGCCUGACGCAGCCAUGCCGCGUGAAUGAUGAAGGUCUUAGGAUUGUAAAAUUCUUUCACCGGGGACGAUAAUGACGGUACCCGGAGAAGAAGCCCCGGCUAACUUCGUGCCAGCCGCCGCCGUAAAAC
rnacentral:rRNA from 1 species